CUUUUGUGGUCUUUCUGGCUCUGAAGAUCUUUUUCAUAAUGUGCCACUGGUGGCGUAGAAGAAAUCCUAACCUUGCUGGUGCCACUCAAAAAAAUGGGAAUUUUCACUGCCUCAAAGCCUAUCUAUUUUGAUGUUUCUGGAAGCUGGUUUGGCUUAUGUGCUGACUUGUAGUUUUUUAUGCAUUCUACUUAAAAACAAACAAUAAAAAACAAAUUUCUGGA